rnacentral:rRNA from 1 species
AUGGUGCUGCAAGCACAAAAAAAUAAUCUCUUUGUUGGGUUGGCCGCGGACCUGGUCGAGAAUGGGGUAGCAAUUCUGCAAUAUGCAGAUGAUACAGUCCUUUGUAUUGAGCACGACCCUGGUAAAGCUGUGAAUCUGAAGCUCCUUCUUUAUAUGUUCGAACUCAUGUCGGGUUUGAAAAUAAACUUCCAGAAGAGUGAGAUUCUCUGUGUUGGAGGGGAUGAUAAUAUCCUGCAAACUUAUGCUGAUAUUUUCAACUGUCAGAUUGGCCACUUCCCGAUGAAAUAUUUGGGGGUGCCAAUCAGUUAUUCAUCCAUUCGAGGGGUGGAUUGGGACUUUUUGGAAGCCAAAUAUAUUAGUAGAUGUGAUUCUGGACUAGGAUGUAAUGCAUCCUCGGGGGGUAGACCGACGCUGCUGAAUGCCAAUAUAUCCAGUAUCACUUAUUAUUACAUGUCUAUGUUCCUGCCGUCGAAGACCAUUAUUGACAGGUUGGAUAAACACCAUAGAAGAUUUUUUUGGCAAGUGUCUAAAAAGAGAAAACGCUACUAUCUAGUGCGAUGGACUCGUAUCUGUAGAUUGAAGGAGAAAGGUGGUUUGGGUGUGAAAGACUUACAUAAGCAAAACCUAAGCCUUCUAACUAAGUGGUGGUGGAAGUUGGAGACCAAAACUGGUCUUUGGCAGGAGAUUAUUAAAGCUAAAUAUCUUGGUAGAGACAUGGUAGCUUCUGUCAAAACAAAGGUGAAUGAUUCGCCUUGCUGGAAAGCCAUUAUGAAGGUGAAAAACCUUUAUAUGGUUGGUUGAAGAAUCAUUAUUCGAUCUGGGAAUAUAGCGAGGGUGUGGGUCGAUCCCAUUGGUGAUCAGAAACCAUUUAAGGACCAGUUCCCUCAGCUAUUCUCAAUUUGCAAUUUCCCUGAAUGCACUGUGGAAAAAUGCCAGGAGGCAGAUCCUGUAACGUUCUUUCGGAGGAGAUUAAGCAAUGAGCUCAAAGAGCAAUGGUAG